UACUGAAAGAAAACCUUUCAUGUACAUAAAAAUCAUUUAAAUAAAUAUUGGAAUG
rnacentral:ncRNA from 1 species